rnacentral:lncRNA from 1 species
CCACCUCGAGACCAUUCCAGCAUGCCCAUGCGCCCGGGCCCGUGGCCCUCAGCAUGACGCGAACACCACCACCACGUCGGGGCGCAGUCUGCGGAACUCGCCCAGCCCCGUAUCGCUCCAGUUGCCGGUCGUCCACAGGUUGUCAGACCGACAGGCCAGCACCAGCCUGCAUGGAGGCCACGUGCCACGAGGGUCGUGCGUGCGCCAAACUUGCACCACGGUCCAUACUGUGGCUUGGUCCCACACACUAAUCGGUGAUUUUUAACACCUGCCUGCUGGGCGCCAUGACGGGCAAUGUGCUGGCGGCGCCGUACCAUUAGAAAUGUGUUUGGGAUUUUGGGGUGGGUGUUUGGGCUUCUGCUGUGUAUACGUUUUGGCGCGGAUUUGUGGGUAUCUUAAGACGUUUGGGGGGCUUUGGGUCUUGCCCCCUAAGGAGCAUUAUCCGGGCGUAAAUGCUGCGGGAUUUACGCUCCUUAGACGCCGCGGGCCUGAGGGCAUCUACAAGUCCGCAGAAGGGCAUUGAACACACACCACAGGAUAAGUCAGGCCGCUGCGUCUUCACAUACGCCUUGGCUGUGACACCGGUAGCAAACCGCAGCGGGGGCCGUGCGCGGUCGCGCGGCAUAAUGCCGCCCGCAGCACGCACCACCACACGCCCCCCGCAGCGCGGCAGGGCGCGGCCGUUUGGCGGCCGUCCUGACUUUGCACGGCCCUGCUGGCAGCCGACGCGGUCGUACUUAUACCUGCUGCACCACUAUAAGGAAAGGUUCAUGCGUUACGCGUGCUUUUAGUGCGCUACACAUGCGUCUGGGGCUGGACGCAUGCGUGCCAGAACUGGCCAGAACGCAUGAAGCAUGCGUGGCGGAGGGCCUGGCGCACCGACCGGACACGCAAGCACUGAGAGACGCACGCACUACGACAUAAAUCAUAGACAUAGUCAUAGACAGCAAGCACGGCUCACUCGCUCGAGGCUCGCUUGAACGCCGGUUGAACUCCAACACUUUACUGCGUCAGACCCCGCUAUAUGAUGUCAUGUGUAAAGCAUAACGAGCAAUGUAAGUAGGCUAGCAGGCCUUGAGAAGGCUUCACAUUGGUUGAGUUGGUUCGAGCCUAAACGAGUGAACGCAUAUGUUAGUAUGAUGUGCUUUAUCUGGGUGUCGCGCCAAGCAACCGGCAUAUGGAGGCUGUGACACGGCCACCGCGGCGGGUUGUGUGGGUGGCGUGUACAGGGCUGGCCACUGCCGCUGCCACGCGCUGCUCGCAAGCCCGGGGACUGCGAGGUAGCUCAAGGCGUGAGCAGCGUGCAUAGGCGCGGUUGUGGCUGCGACGGUGCCUGUGCCAAGCAGCCGCGGGGGGGGUAUGGCGACGAGACAGCACUGGCGUAGGACUUGGUGUACGAGAUUGGGUUCCCGGGCGGCGGUGGCGCGGGUGGGUGCAAUGGCGGCGCUGCGGCGGCGCUGCGGCGGCGCUGCGGCGGUGGCCUCCCAUGGGCCACGGCUGCCGUCGUCGCCAGCGCUCACGCUGGACCCGCGCUGCCCCCCGCCGGCGGCUCCUCAGCGGCAUGAAUAAGCCCAGGCUACAGGAGUGCCCCAAGGCCUGAGGGCAUCUACAGCUUUCAUUGGCCACGUGAGCGGCACCCCCCCCCGGCGCGCAGGUGAGUAAAAAGCAAGUUGGGUUUAGGAAAGGUAAGCGGCGGCAGCGUUGCACGAGCAUCCGUAUAUGCAUCCGAUCGCUGACUUAGUCUUGGAAAACUGGGAGAGCAGCAUGGAGGGUCGGACGGAGGCGCUGGAGCUAGACGCUGGACUUUACGGAGUUCGGUAACAACGCGCCUGUUGUACCACUGUCACGCCCGGCUACAACUUAAUGUACACACACACACACACACACACACACACACACACACACACACACACACACACACACACACACACCGUCAUGCAUGCGCCCAUGCCGUCCCCCGCCUGUUUACUUGCUCGUGGUCGCCCACCCUCCAUCUCUUUCCCAAAUCGCGCAACCCCUCGUAUAGUUAAUUGGGCUGGGACUGGGCUGCGUGUUUGCUCUUGCUCGUCGCGCGCCGCCGCGCUAACAUGUUCCUUCGCUCUUGUUCGUGACACUCCCCUGCUGCCGCCCUGUGCUCUGUUGUUUUCUUAUUCGCUCGUAGGUGAGAAUUUCAUCGAGGAUUGGGCGGGAGCUUGGACUUAGCGGCCAGGAGUAGCGACGAGGAGCUAGGAAUCGUAGGAGUGCCUGGGCCUCACGGUACCGUGAGCACAUGCAUGGGUUUGCACCCUUGAGAGCGUGUGGACACGAAUCCCCCCUCGAGGUUAGAGCAGCGGGGGUUGCGCGAUUUCCGGUUGGUAAGACCGGCGGCUCACCGCAGCAGGUAUGCGAGGUAACUUCAGGUAACAUCCGUAAACCGUCGCUUUGCUGCAUCGCAUACACUGUCUUUGCGCAACGUUUUCCUUGUGCUCUUUAACACACACACACACACACACACACACACACACACACACACACACAUUCGAACAAACCCCUCCUUCCUGAGUUGUUCCCAUGCAAGCCGCGCAUACACGCCACCACCACCACCACCACCACCACCACCACCACCACCACCACCUGACAACCCCAUGACCAGGUGAUCCGCCUGCGCCGCAACGGCGUCACUGACUUUUGGAAUUGUGACAUCGGCGCCCACCCCGUACAUUUCGGGCAGUACACGGGUGAGGCGGGCGGGUGGGGGCGCGGGGCGGGCGCGGGCGUGGCCGGCCGGGGCAGAGCCAGGUGUUUGCAGAGCAUAGCAGAACGCAGGACCUGCGGACCUUCGCUCCAUAACCUCUGUGCAGACUUGAAGAGAGCUUGACUUAGCGCAACGUGCCGGUCAUCCGCCUGGAUCUGAACGGAGGCUGGUAAAGGACCCGUGAAGGACCCGUGAAGGACCCGUGAUCAAGGUCCGGACCCGUGAUCAAGGUCAGACAAGCGGCCGCUGGACUCGCGGCAAUAAAGCUUCGUUUGCAAACCCUGUAGACAUUGGACACCACAGCCAUGGCAAGCACUGGACACCCACGCGGAGUGGUGCUGCUGCUCGGGCCACCUGGUUCCGGCAAAUCCACCCUGGGUCGGUUCAUGGCCCGGCAGGCUGCAGGUGGCAGUAGCAGUAGCAGUAGCAGCAGUAGCACUUCCAUCAGCUUCCUGUCGCUGGGCGAUGAGCUGCGCGCGCGGGGCCUGGUAGCGGCGCAGGAGGCGCAGCCCACGGCGGCCGGCGGCCGGCGACUGCGGCAGGUUGCGGAAGAGCUGCUGCGGCGCGCCUGUUGCGGCGAGGGGGUGAUAGUGACAACAGCAGCAGCAGCAGCAGCAGCAGCAGCAGUAGCAGCAGUAGCAGCAGUAGCAGCAGGCCCGCAGCGGGCAGGAGAGGUGCCCAGCAGCCGGCGGCUGCUGCUGCUGCUGGAGGGCGUCAAGGAGCUGGGCGACGCGCACAUGUUGCUGCGGGUGCUCCACGAGUGCGGGGUGGCGCUGCAACAGGUGCGUGCGUGCGGUGUUGUGUAUUGUUGAUCGGGGGCAUGCAGCAGUAGCAGUGUCGCAGGUGCGUGUGCCUCAGGUUUUCGAUGCUGGCGGGUCCCUCUAUCUCAACACCACUUCAAUGCAACCCGCCCCUCAUCCGGCGCUGCUGGUCAGGUCCUUUUCAUCCCCGGCGGCGCGCUGAAUGGAUGGCUCUGGCAGUCUCAUGUACGGGCCGAGUUGCAGCAGCAGCAGAGCUCGGCGCAGCGGGACAAGGAGCGCCGCGUGGCGGAGCGGCAGGCCAAGUGGGAGGCCAACGUGGGCCGCCUGCUGGAGCUGUUCUCGUCUAUGGGCGUGCUGUCGGAGCUCAGCGUCGCAUCAACUGCAGCAGCCCCUAGCCUGGCGGCGCUGGGCUACGCAGCGGGGCCGUCCUUUGCUGUGCCCAAGCCCCCGCCGGCUCCACAGCAUAGCGGGCUGUUUGGCCAGAGGCGAAGCGCUUACGUCACUGCUUCCAGGGGCGUGCUCACCCCCGCACCACCCACGCCGGCCACGCCGCCCCCCGCUUGGCUGGCGGCGGCAUCUCCCCUGCAGCUGCCCAGCGGCCUGGCGGUCACGCCCAUCGAAUGCGUGACGUCGCGGCGACUGGUUGCGGACCCGUUGGAGCUGGACGCGGUCAUGGCGGCGGCGGCGAGCCUGUCGGGACUGGGCCGCCUGUUCAGCUGCAGCAGGGAGGCGAAUGGAGCAGCAGCGGCAGCAGCAGGCGACGCGCCGCUGGCAGCGCCGGUGCCGAGCAACAUGGUGUGCUCCAGCGCCGACGCGGCGUGGCUGGCGCGUCCGGGGCGCUACACCGUGAGCCGCAAGUGCGACGGCACACGGUAUUUGCUGCUGCUGCUGCUAUCGGCUGGCGACAGUGGGGUAGCAAGCGGCGGGGGCGGUGCCGAUGCAGCAACGGCAGCCCGAGCGUAUCUGCUCAACCGCGCCAAGACCAUGUAUAAGUUCCCCGUCGCCCUGGCUACUGCGCCGUCCGCUGCAGCAGCAGCAACAGCAGCAGCAGCAGCAGCAGCAAGCAGCGGCAAUGGCAGCGGCAGUGCAGCAGCUAUGGCGGGGGCUGCAGCAGGGCUUGCGGUGGAUCAUGAUGGCGACAGUCCGCCGCCCCCCGUACCACCCUCCGCUGGCGGCACCGUGCUGGAUGGGGAGCUGGUGUGGAUGCACGGCCGCGGCUUCUUCCUGGCCUUUGACGCGCUGUGUGUGGGCGGCUGCCGUCUGUGGCACCUGCCGCUGCAGCAGCGGCUGCUGGCGUUGGAGGGCCUGGGUCUGAAGGAGGCGGAGGAAAGCCCCGAGCUGUGUGAGGCAGCGGCAGCGGCAAGGUCUGCGGCGGCGACGAUGACGAAGGCAGCGGCGACGCCAUCUAGCAGCAGCAGCAGCAGAAGCAGCGGCAUCAGGGAAGGGAUGGGCUUGACGGCGUCGUCGUCGCGGCAGCUGUACAAGAAGCAGCAGGCCCCGCCGCCCGGCGCCGACACAAUUACGCUGCUGCGCAAGCGGCACUUGCGCGUCAGCCCUGCGACGGUGCGGCUGCUGGGCGCUGGCGGCUGCUGUCCGUACCCCACUGACGGCCUCGUGUUCACGCCCUGCGACAUGCCAUACCAGCUGGGCAUGCCCGAGCUGCUGUACAAGUGGCAGCCGCCGGACGCUGUCGGGAAGGACCUGACAGCAGCCGAGGUAGGGGAGCAGCAGCAGCGGAGUUUUACGUGUACUGAACUGCUGCCCGGGCUGGUGUACGAGUGUCUGCCUCAAGUACGACGCACCGGCGGCCUUGUGGCUUACCAGCCGGCCUCCGUUCGCUGGGACAAGGUGCGCGGCAACGACCGCACCGCGGCGGAACAGCUUUCAGCAGCGGCCGCCGGCGGGUGUGGGCCUGGCAGUUGCGAGGAGCUGGCGGCAUGGAUGCAGCAGCAGCAGCAGCAGCAGCAGCAGGUUGCCACCUUUGCCGCCGCGAGGGUUGGCGCGGCUGCUCCUGCGGCGGUGGAGGCCGCUGCAGUGCCGCUGCCGCGGCACCCUGCCCGCACGCAGCGCUUUGCGGAUGUGCACAGCCAGGUGCUUGAGCAGGUGGCGGCGGGGGUGGUGGAGCGCUGGGAGGACCCGGCGGGCUCGGGCCUGGAGGUGUACAGCUACAGGUGCGCUCGCAUGGGUUAGGGUGAGCUCUGAGCGACGUGGCUGUUUGCUGUGUGCUGUGUGUUGCUUGUAUGGUAAAGCAGUAUUAGGAAGCCCCAUGUUUUGCUCCCUGCGGCACUUGUAAUUGCGUCACAGGCAGAACCGCGAGGCCGCAACUGCCGGCCCAGUCGCCGCCAUGUGCCGUGGCCUCAUACUCCACCCGCCGUCGGAGUCCGUCGUGGCCACGCCGUUUGCGAGAUUUGGCGACGCGCAGCCCGAUGACCUGGCAGCAUCGGUAUCGGCGGCAGCGUCGGGCGUCGGCCCCUGCAUGGUGUGCGGCUGCUCAUCGGAGCGGGACGAGCACGGCGACCGCAUCUGCUACUGCGACGCGUGCAAGCAGCGCGGCUGCCAGUCGUCAGCACCGGUGCUUCCAGUCGUCGGCAGCGGUGCUGCCAGUCGUCAGCAGCGGCGCUUCCAGUCGUCAGCCGCGGUGCUUCGGCCGUCAGCUGGCGGCUGGCGGCUGCCAGCGCUCCGGGCGACACUGCUGCCGCCGGACUGCCGCCAGACCGACAGCAGCAGAGGUACGGGUGCUGCUGCUUGGUGCCCGGCGGCAAACGUACCUGCCGCGGCCAGCGUCAAGGUGGACGGAUCCAUGGUGGUGGCGUUCGUGUGGGCGGGGCAGCUGCGCACCGCCACACGGCGCCGCAUGGACUCGGAGCAGGUGAGCUGUGAGCGAGCGGGGGCAAGGGCGUGGGCGAUUGCUCCAGUGGCGUUCAGGUCAGGUGGUCAGGCGGGGCCAAGUCGCAACCCAUCCUCAGUCCUCAUCUAACUACUUAGGUUCGAAGAUUCUACACACAGAGGCUGCUUGAGCGACAGGCAUAAAAGCGAGGGCAAGCAACCAAUCUCUGCUGUGGGUACCGUAUUGGCCAGUACUUACCUUGCACCUUGGCUCUGUAUGCAGGCGCUGUGGGCGUCCGAGUGGCUGCGCGCCCACGCCGAGGUCAGCGCUUUCCGGCCCGGAUGGACGUACGUCAUGGAGGCGGUGUACGGCAACAACACGCACGUGGUGCCGUACGGCUUUGAGGGGCUGGUGCUGCUCAGCGCCGUGCAGCCGGAUGGUGCCGAGCUGCCGCUGGAGGCACUGGCGGCCCUGGCGGCGGAACUGCGGCUCACGUGUGCGGCGCCGUACCUGGUGGGUGAACUGGACGAGCUCCUUACGCAGCUGCCCGGCUUCAAGCGGGUGCGGCUGCCACUGGCUCCUGAGGCUGCUGGCGGAGAGUCAACACCGACUCCGGCGCCUGUGCCAGCGCCAGCGUCCUUUGAGGGCUGGGUCUUGUCCGCGCCCUACCACGGCCAUGACAGCGCCAGCGCCGACUGCGCCAGCGCCAGGGGCACCAGCGGCUUUCCGACACCGGCCGAGGCGCCGCCGCCACAACGGUACAAACUGGUGCAGGCCGCCUACAAGCGCAUUGCCUGGGCGGGCCGGAUGCUGCACCCGCUGUGUGUGUGGGACAAAAUUGCCUUUGGCGGCGCCUCAAGGGGCUCGCUGGCCGCCGGCUUGCCGCGCCACUAUCGUGCCGAGCUGGCCGCAAUGCUGGAGACCAUAGGAGGCGGCUAUGCCGCUGCGCGGGGCGAGGCGCUGCGGGUGCUGCGCCAGGCGGCGCGCGCCGGGCGGCUGUCAGAUCUGCGCGCUCUCGCGGUGCGGUUGGGUGGUGAUGACGAGGCUGGCGGUGCCGGCGCGGCUAGCGGCGCCGCGGCUGCAGCAGGUGGCGGCGCCACUACUACGGGCACAGAUGAGGAGCUCUCAGCGCUGAUGGCGGUGCUAAACCUGGAGGCAGAGCAGGGGGCAGUAGCACCAGGCAGUGAUGGCGCCGCCGCCGCUGCUUCUGCUGCUGCUGCUGCCGCUGCUUCUGCUUCUGCUGCAGGGGCGGCCUCGGACGCCUCAACUGCAGAGAUGGUAGCCGGUCCCGCGGUGGCGAAUGAUGGUGUUGACAUCGGCACGCAGCAGCAGCUCCACGGUAGACCCACCUUCUGGCGUGCCGUGGCCUACGCCGCCGCCCGCUGUGGCGCCAGCGACUGGACGACUGCUGCUCGCGCUGACGCAGCCUGCCGCCUGCUGGCACCGAGCAUGUACUACGACCCGGACGCCGCCAGCCUCGGCGCGCCCAGCCUGCGGCGCCUGCUGCUGGAGUGUGUGCAGCCGGCGGCCGAUGGCCGGCUGGCUGGCUACACGCCCUCACCCACCUUCGCGCAGACCAAGGCCAAGGGUUGGGCGGGCGGCCCGGCAGUGGGCCGGCUGGCGCCGUGCGCCCCUCCGCUCCUGCACGAGGUGCUGCUGGACCCAUAUCUGGAGGCGUGCCUGGCGCCACUGCAGGGCCGGGACCUGGUGGCGGCGCUGACUGUGUGCCGCAAGUGGGCAGACGUCCUGCGUGCGGCGCCGGCGCCAGGAGACCUGGCGCCGCGGCUGGCAGCGGGCCGGGCGGAGGCGGAGGCGGAGGCGCAGCGGAAGGAGGCCGAGGCGCGGCGGGCUAGGCAGGCGUGGCGGCUGGAAUUGGACUUCAGCGACGCGUUCAGACGGCGCUACAACGACUACGACUCCGAUCGCUCGUAUGGAUCGUACUGAGCGCGUGUGGGGGUAAAACAGGAAUUGCAAUGAUGCGGCCAGGAUUGCAACGGUUGUCGCCGUGUCAUGAUAUCGUGCUGACCAGAUUGAACCGGUAUUCGAAGUUUGCACGUAAGUCAACAUAUGCAUACAUGUUCUCGCAGCGGACCCUGUCCGCCUUCCGGUUGGAUGCAGUUGGAUGCCGUGCGCCACGCACACCUGGCAGGCACGCCCGACUGCAGUACGCUAUCGUGCGUGCCACAGCCCGCGCAGCGCUUGAGUAGGAUUGCGUGGGCAGGCUGAGCUUGGGCAGGCUGAGCCGGGGCGUUGAAUGUGUUCAAGUUGUCUAUACAGCCGCGACGGGCACAUGUUUAGACGGAAGAUACGUCUGCAGUUUAGACGGAAGAUACGAGCACUGAAUAUCAGCCCCCCGCCCCAUCGAGGCCCCGUGCUGCCAUGUCUGAUAUGCUUAGACUCGAGUGUGUUUACACGCCUGGGAUUGCUGCAUGCAGCACCUGUCGCCUUCCUCCCUUAGCCACCACCUCGAGACCAUUCCAGCAUGCCCAUACAUGCGCCCGUGGCCCUCAGCAUGACGCGAACACUACCUCCACGUCGGGGCGCAGUCUGCGGAACUCGCCCAGCCCCGUAUCGCUCCAGUUGCCGGUCGUCCACAGGUUGUCAGACCGACAGGCCAGCACCAGCCUGCAUGGUGGCCAAUUGCCACGAGGGCGGUGCGUGCGCCGAGCUUGCACCACACGUCACGGUCCAUUCUGUGGCUGGCUUGGUCCCACACACUAUCGUGCAUACCCUGUACCAGGCUUGGCUGCAAAGUCACUGCCAGCAUUUUCUUUAGCAUGCGUUACCUGCGCAGGUUGGGGCUGUGGGCCGCAAGCGCCAUCAGCCCCACGUCACACACGCGUGUGAAUGCCACAUCCAGCUCCUCCAGCGCCUCCAGGCCUGGGCAGUACCGGUAAGCACGACAUGGCCGGCAGCGGUAGCAAUAGCACAGCAG